UAAAUUCCAGAAAAUGAAAGCAUACAAUCCUAUUGGCCCUUGAUGAUUGCUGCUUACACUUUUCUUUUGCUUUUAUAUGAUCAGAUGAGGCCUACAUACCCGGAGACACUGAGGCAGCACUUCCAGAGGACUGUCCAAAAUCAGACGUGUCUGAAAAGACUGACAAUUUGAAUGAGUCCAAGGACAACACUAUCAAGCCAGCUAAACUCUCCCGAGGCAGAGCACCAAAACCACUACUACCUUUGGGCCGGAAGUGGGGUAAAAAGCCUCCACCACCCUCCACAAAGACCAAUGAUACGGCAUCAGAUAAAGAGGAUGAGAGUGAGCUUGAUGGGGCCUCUAAAGAGCAGGUUAUUACUUUUAGUUUCAGUUUCAAGUCAUCAAAUAUUUCUACAUAUUGUUACUUUGGCUUACUGAACGUUAUGCUAACCUUUUUAGGUAAAUAAAGAUCCAUCACCCUUAAAGCAAGCCACUAAGAGGAAGUCAGCCAAUGAUGACAUUUCCUCUGGUGAAGAGGAUGUCACCGUUCAACCUCCGAGACCUACCAGGUAUGGGAGAGUGCCUAAACCCACCAAGCCCUUGAAUUACCCUGGGAAAGAGGCUACACACUCGUCUGAAACCACUCCUGCCUCACCAGCUGGGUCCACUGCUUCUGCUGCCAGGCCUAAACCUAAAUGCACAGCUAAGAGGGGAAGAUCACCAAAGCUACAAUCAGCCCAAGAGUCCAAAAAGCCUAAACUAGUCACCCUCAGGGCUUCUCAGUCAGAAUACAGUGAUGAGGAGGAUGACAAGCAGCGAGUAGAGGAAGAGGUGGAGGAGGAGCACCUUGCAUGUAGCUCCAGUAAUGACAGCACUGCCGCUGCGUUUGUGCCUGCCAGCCUGCGCUCCCCACAUCCUGUGAUUUCAGAAGUGGAAGAGACAAUGGAG
rnacentral:lncRNA from 1 species